AACGUAGGAGGCAAGCGUUAUCCGGAGUUACUGGGCGUAAAGCGCACGCAGGUGGCUGAGUCAGUCGAUUGUGAAAGCCCUGGGCUUAACCUGGGAAUUGCAGUCGAUACUACUCAGCUAGAGUAUGGGAGAGGGUAGUGGAAUUCCCGGUGUAGCGGUGAAAUGCGUAGAUAUCGGGAGGAACAUCAGUGGCGAAGGCGGCUACCUGGCCCAAUACUGACACUCAGGUGCGACAGCGUGGGGAGCAAACAGG
rnacentral:rRNA from 1 species